AUAAUUCCACUUCCCCCGGAACCCAGAUCAUCCCCGCGAUUUCCUGUUUAUUGCAUUAAGGCGCCGGGUUUCCGGGGCUCCUGGCCCCGCUUGUUUGGCGGGGGUCGGCGGGGUCGGCCUGGGUGUCCGUGCUGCCGCCGCCGCCGCCGCCGCGCUUUGUCCGCCCGGCGCUUGGCUUCUGGGAGGGGCGGCAGACAUGGUGGCGGCCGCCGCCCCCUCCUCGGUCAGGCGCCGCGGCCUCCUGCGGGCCCCACGGGUCGGGUCUGCGGUGGGGUCGCCAUGGCCGUGGGGGUCCGGGCCGGCGGGGCAGGCGGCGGGAGAGGCGGCGCUGUCCCCGCCCGCUCCUUUGUCUCGGCGGCCUGAGGGCCUGGCCUGGCCGGGCCGACGACAAGCGGGAGGGAAGGCCGGGCCGCGCUGCCCCGCUGGGCCCCGCGGAGCCCGGGGCGCUCGGGUUUCGGCCCGAACAGCCGGGUCGGGGCAGGGUAGACGGGCCAGUCCGGAAGGGACGGAGCCUGCCAUUCUCAGUGGCCGAGACUUUUGCCCCGGAGACUUCGCCACCGGAACCCACGCGAGCGCGGGUGCGGAAAGAAGCCGCGAGUUUCGUCGGUCAUGUCUUGCCUGGGCACAGAUCGGUGUUGAGUGUGCUGUUGUGAACCUCUCCCACGGCGUUGAAGCCGCGGGCUUAGCCUUGAAGUGUGCAUCUCCAAAAUGAGAGCGAAGGAAAGCGGGCCUACCUGCUGGCUUUUUUUCCCUUGAAGCUUUUGCUUUAAGCCCAUUUCCACUGUGUCUAGCAGACACAUUUGCUUUAAAGCAGGGAGCGAGACCACAGUACUUCUGAAAGAGAGCUUCAUAACGUGGGAGUAAUUUUUAAGAGUUCUUUCUGCAGACACUGUGGUUUGUUGUCUAUUCAGGCAAGUUACUUUCUGAAAUGUAAUUUUUAUCUGGGGGUAAAAAAGAACGGUGGUGUGCUUUUUCUAGGGAAGUAGUGGCCUUCCCAGAAUUGAAAACGCACCGAAUUUAGUACGCAGACGAUAGUCUACCUCACAGAGAUUCACCCAGAUUAAUUUAAAUAUAACUGAUAGCUUUUUGGCUCUUAGGCCUUCAGACUCUGACUUUUUAAGUUUUAAGGGAACUGAUGGCUCUUAUCCCUUUAUUCGCUUUUCUUAUUUUGUCAAAAAUGAAAAGUAACGUGUCAACUCAUGACUUAGGCAAGAGUCACAUUGUUUUGCACUUUCGAAAGUCUUUUUUAAAGCCUAGUUUAACAGAAAACAUUCUUGAGUCAAUUUUUGCAGACAGUCUUGUGAUAUGCCACAUAGCCAAUGGAAAACACUGUAUGUAUAUUAUGCUUUUUUUAAAAAACAUGAUAUAUCCCAUCCUUCUAUUCAGCAUGUUAAGUACAAUCAAGAUAUUGUGAAAGACAAACUGAAUGAGAAGAAUGAUUCUUGUAGUUUGGGGGAGAGGCCUCUAACUUUUUAAAAGAUGGCCAUUUAGAUGCUUAAGCAUUGCAGAGAUUAUAAUUUACCAGUAGCCUUGAUAUCUGGAAAUAGUCCAAGUGACAAGACAUUUUAAAGUUCCAGUUCAUAUGCUUAACGAUGUACACAUAUAAUCAGCGUGUAAAGACCCGCUUGUAAGUACCUUCUUCACGAGGACACGUGCAUCUUAGGCGCUUCAGACUUCCGUGGGAAGUGAGGUGUUUGCCGAAACAAAAUGCACAUGUAGUUUGCAUGUGUAAGUCUUAGCCUCUUCCCUGACUCAGUCUGGGUUUCUUGGGUGUGGGCGAUUAAUCUGUAAUAGUUCAAGAUGAGUUUGGGGCUAAUGGCUUUGGAAGGAAGCUGAGUUUCCAGUGGUUUCUUAAAACCCUCGUCUGAUUCUGUCAGUUGACCUCUGCUGUUUCAUCAACAGGAAGCAUCUGGCCAUUCUUCAUGUCAUUGUCAGAAAGUGCCAGGUGCAUUUUUAUGUUUGCUAUUAUGCAUAUCAAAAUUGGAUCUUAAUUUUAACCUCGUUUUUAUUCCCCUCCCUCCCUCCCCCGGCAUUUUAAAAACCCGUGGUAUCUCUAGGUAUAGGUGAGGCAAACAUUACAAAUUCAAAAAUUGUCACAUGAAAUUUUAGGUCAGAAAUUAAUUUUUGAGUGAGCUCAAGUUUCUUGCAAGUUGUCUUGUUAGUAAAUGCACUGAUGAUGUCCAAUCCUUAUCUCACCGGCUAUCUUAGAGACUCAUGUCAAGGCAAGUUCCUGGACAUCUAGGAACUUGUUUACAUAUUGACAAAUAUGACAAUUUGACAUUGUAUACAUGUCAUAUAGUGUACAAAUUAAGGUAUGUGUUGGGACCCAUUCACUUUCUCUGCUCUAGUUUAUAAAUGUAUAAUUGCAGUCGUAAUAUGAGUGUGGGUAGCUGUCCAGUGAUCCAGUGGCUUUUUAACUAAAAAUUACAUUUCAGUAACAAGUGUCUCAACUUGGGGUCAGUUGUAAUUAGCAUUUUCCUUGUCUGAGGAGGAUUGUUCCUUCAUCCCUGUAAAAGAUAAAUCUUGUGUCAGAAGAAGUUAGAAUUAGAACCUGUGUUCUCAGCUCUGCAGUGUUGUCCACAAAGGUUAGUGCAUUUUUAUUUGGACUGUGGAUGUUUAUGGCAGUAGAGAUGUAGGCAGAGAGUAAGUUCUCCAAAGACAAGACUUGAUUUAUCCUGAUAGAAAAAAAGUUGAAGAAUACCAGUUGAAGCUUUUCUGGUCACAGGAGCUGAUACUGACUCCUGUGUGCCUUAGUUGUCUCAUUUGUACAGUAGGAAUAAUUACAUGAAUUCUUCCAUAGAAAGUGGUCACAAUGAUGCCUUAGAGCACUGAUUCCCAACCUUCCUAAUGCUGCCACUUUUUAAUACAGUUCCUCAUGUUUUGUUGACCCCCUAACCAUAAAAUCAUUUCAUUGCUAUUUUGUAAUUAAUUUUGCAACUAUCAUGAAUUGUAAUGUAAAUAUCUGUCACCGGUAGUCUUAGGUAAUCCCUGUGAAAGUGAUGUUUGACCCCACCCCUCACCCCAAGGGAUCACAACCUAUAGGUUGAGAACUGCUGCCUUAGGUCAUUAAUAGAUCAGUAAAUUUUACUGUUUUUUUUUUUUUUCCUUAAUUUCAGUUUAGCUUUAAUUUUCCCCAAAUCCACUGUGUAGUCCAGGCUGAUUUUGAACUUGGAGUAAUUCCCUUGCUUCAGUUUUACAGGCUGGGCUUACAGGCAUGAGCCACCAUGCCCAAGCUAGUACAGUUACUGUGGGCUCUCAGCCCCACUAUUGAGAGCCCUUGUAGUCAAUAAUCUUGGAAUUUGUGUGUGUGUGUGUAUGCAUAUGCAUGUGUUUAUACAUACAGACAUACAUAUAUGCAAAUUAAUGUUAUAACCUUGGAAGGAGUUCAUUGUAGUGUCUUCUUUCAAACAUAUCCAUCUUAGCUGGAAAUUAUUCAAGUUUUUAGGCUAAGUGGGAUAUAAUAAAUGUCUUGCUGUGGGUUCUGGUAAGGUUUUUGUGUUUUUAUUUAUUUCGUAUCAGUGUAAGAGAGCCCCGGCACUUUAACUAGAGGUUAAAGGACAUUUUGGGAGCUGGUUUCUUCUUCACUAUUUGGGGCCAAUGAUCAAACUCAGGCCAGGCCAGGCUUGGUUGCAGAAAUCUUUGGGGCUAGAGAGAUCCAUGCUUCAUUCAGAGCACUCAAGUUCAGUUCUCAGCUCCCUUGUCAGACAGCUCACAAUUGCUUAUAAUUUUAGUUCUGGGGUGUGUGACCCCACUCCUGCACAUUUGUGGCAUGUAGACAGGGCAUCCUGUUUCUGUGCAUUACACACAUUAAAAAUACCCUUUACCUCUUGAGCCAACUCAUCAACAACUGUGAAUCCUUCUAUUUUUUAAAAAUUAUGUUAAAUCCAUUGAUACUGUAAUUAUACAAUGUAUCUUUUUCUAGAAGAAUUUUGAGCAUCUAUUAAAGUUAGGUGUUUAAAUCUCAUUACACUAGAGAGGUGAGCUACUACUAGUCUGGUAAUAUACUAUAGUAGUGAUUCUUUAAAAGAAGUGAGUGGAGGUUACCAUGGUACCCCUUUCUAAUAUAGCCCCCUCCUACUUGGUAGAUGGAGCAAAGUGGUUAAGACCAUAAAAUUAUAAUAUUGUACACUAGACUUAGGUCAUUUCUUUCAUGAUGAAAACUAUUUGCUGGGUGUGGUAGCAUAUCCCUUAAUCCUAAUACUGGGGAGGCAGAGAUCUCAAGUUCAAGGACAGCCUGGUCUACAGAGCAAGAUCCAGGACACAAAGAAACCUUGUCUCACCUUCCAGAUGAAAACCCCAAGAAUCAAAAAAGAAAAGUAUUGGAUGUGUAGUUUCUUAAAUGCUGUUGUCUCCGUUGUGUCUAUGGCACUUAUAUUCAAACAUUUGGCGUAAAAGUUUCCCUUUGUAUUCAAAAUGGCUUAUGUAAAAUCUUUGACCUAUAUGACUAUGUAACUGAUUGAUCAUUUAUAAGACCUCCUGUCCCAGUCCUUCUCUUAAUACUAUGAUCUGAACGUGCCUUCCUGAAAUUCAUGUGGAACUCUAAAUCUUCAAGAUGAUGGUUUGGGGUAGAUGAGAAAUGUAAUAUCUUUUUUUUUUUUUUUUUUUUUUCUACCUGCCUCUGGCUUUAAAGGUGUGUGCCACCAACUCUGGGCAAAUGUAAAGCCCUUUUGCAUGACAUUAGUGUCCUUAAAAAGAGACUGCAGACAGCUAGUUUCCCCCUUCUAUGUGAAGGCACAGAAAGAGAAUGCUGUUGAUCCAUACCACCAUGAUCUUAGACUUUGUGUUCUGGAACUAUGAGAGAUACAUUGCUCUUGUUUGCAAGCCAAUCAGUUACGAGCAUUUUGUUCUGUGUGGCUCAGACUGAAGACAAUUUUGUCCAGUGCAUUUUGACAUUAGUCACAUUCAUAUUUCUGUGUUCCCUUUAUCAAAACUUCCCACCACUGAUUUCUUCAGUGUUACCUCACCUGGCAGCGCGUGUGAAGAAGCUCAGUGACUAAGAUUUCUUGACCACUUUACCUUGCGGUGAACAAUUUCAGAUAGUCCCAUGCACCUUGGGAAUAGUUUUGCUAAUCUAAUGUUUUUUUCCUGAUUUCUUCUGUUCCUGUUUGACUCAGUUGAUAAAGAUAACUUCUACUUACUGGAAAAAAAUCCAGGCUAUAAGCUUUCUGUCAUUGUGGUGUGUACCGUUCUACCAUUUUGUGGACUAAACAAAAGAGGAAUCUUGUAUUUUUAGGAAUCUAGCUGCCACAUUUAACUUUUUCCCCUCUCAUUGCGUCAUUAUCUGUGAAGGUUUAUUUCCCUUGCUUUCAAAUGUACAGACAUAAAAUGGAAGAAGAAAAUAAACUUGAGAGUUACCUUUA